AAGAGAAAACGGGUAAUUACCCCGAUUCAGUUGAAUCGAGGGAGGAAAGUCCGGACACCAGCCCCGCGCAUGCGGGACAAGCGUACGGGUUAACGACCCGCCGCGGCAACGCGAGAGGUGCGAACAGAGACGGUUUUUAUAGAAAUAUAAAAACCGCCCCGUCGUAUGACGGGGCGCAGCUCUGCAGCAAUGCAGAGAAUGAAACGGCUAAAUCCUUACUGGGUGCAAGUCCUCUAUGGACGCUAGAUCUUGAUGGCAACAUUAAGACCAGAUAGAUGAUUAUCGCCCCGCAACUGCGGGGUACAGAAUCCGGCUUAUAGUUUUCUCAAUAAG
rnacentral:RNase_P_RNA from 1 species